rnacentral:rRNA from 1 species
UACGUGAGGGGCAAGCGUUGUCCGGAAUUAUUGGGCGUAAAGCGCGCGCAGGCGGCCUUGUAAGUCUGUUGUUUAAACAGAGGGCUCAACCCUUUGUCGCAAUGGAAACUGCAAAGCUGGAGUGCAGAAGAGGAAAGUGGAAUUCCGGGUGUAGCGGUGGAAUGCGUAGAGAUCCGGAAGAACACCAGUGGCGAAGGCGGCCCGCUGGGCAGUGGGCUGACGCUGAGGCGCGACAGCGUGGGGAGCAAACAGG